rnacentral:siRNA from 1 species
CUCAAUCAUAAACAAAACCAUUGU